rnacentral:ncRNA from 1 species
ACUUAACUUUACUUUAAUUAUAUAAAAACUAUUAUUUAAAAUUGAUUAUGGAAAUUAAAGAUAAUCCAGUUCUUAACUUUUAUCAAUUAUAAAAAAAUAAAAUAAGUUAUUAAAAAUUAUUUUAGGUUUAUUAGGUGCCAGCAACCGCGGUCAUACCUAAUAAAAAAAUAGGUAAAUUUUAGAUUUUUUAUAAAAAAAAUUGUAAAAUAUUUAUAUUUUAGUGAAAUAAUAAAAAUAAAUAGUAAUUUUAUUACAAUUUUUUUUUUAAAGGAAAAAUUAACUAGAAACUAGGAUUAGAUACCCUACUAUUUUUUAAUAAGGAUAAAAAAGUUGAGUAUUAAAUUUAUUUAAAAAAAUAAAACUCAAAAAGUAUGGCAGUAAUUCUUAACUUUAGGGGAACUUACCAUUUAAUAGAUAGUCAACAAGAAUCUAAUAACUAAAAUUUUGUUUGUAUGCCGUCGUUUACUUACAAAUUUAAUUUGUAAGCAAAUAAAAUAUUUUUUUAGUACAUCAGAUCAAGGUGCAGCAUUUUCAGUAUAUAGGCGAGUUACAAUAAAAAUUUUUUUUUCUUAUUUAAUUUAAUAAUAAGAUGGACUUAAAAGUAAUAUAUUAAAAAAUAAAUCAAAUAAAUUAAUUUAUUUAAUGAAUAAUUUUAUUAAUUGUGCACAAAUCGCCCGUCGUUCUCAAAGAUAUAUAUAUUUUAUAUAAAAAUUUGAGACAAGUCGUAACAUAGUAGAAAUAGUGGAAACUGUUUCUGUUUAAGU